rnacentral:rRNA from 1 species
UACGUAGGGUGCAAGCGUUGUCCGGAAUUAUUGGGCGUAAAGAGCUUGUAGGCGGUUUGUCGCGUCUGCUGUGAAAUUUCGGGGCUCAACCCCGAACUUGCAGUGGGUACGGGCAGACUAGAGUGUGGUAGGGGAGACUGGAAUUCCUGGUGUAGCGGUGAAAUGCGCAGAUAUUAGGAGGAACACCGAUGGCGAAGGCAGGUCUCUGGGCCACUACUGACGCUGAGAAGCGAAAGCAUGGGGAGCAAACAGG